GCCGCAGUAGCUCAUUGGUAGAGCAGGUCUCUGAAGAGGAUCGUGUAGGGGGUUCGAUUCCCUCCUGCGGCACAA
rnacentral:tRNA from 1 species